rnacentral:rRNA from 1 species
GACGAACGCUGGCGGCGUGCUUAACACAUGCAAGUCGAGCGGUAAGGCCCUUUCGGGGGUACACGAGCGGCGAACGGGUGAGUAACACGUGGGUGACCUGCCCUCAGCUCUGGGAUAAGCCUGGGAAACCGGGUCUAAUACUGGAUAUGGCUCCAUGACGCAUGUUGUGGGGUGGAAAGCCUUGUGCGGCUGAGGAUGGGCCCGCGGCCUAUCAGCUUGUUGGUGGGGUGANGGCCUACCAAGGCGACGACGGGUAGCCGGCCUGAGAGGGCGACCGGCCACACUGGGACUGAGACACGGCCCAGACUCCUACGGGAGG